rnacentral:rRNA from 1 species
GAUGAACGCUGGCGGCGUGCCUAAUACAUGCAAGUCGAGCGAACGGACGAGAAGCUUGCUUCUCUGACGUUAGCGGCGGACGGGUGAGUAACACGUGGAUAACCUACCUAUAAGACUGGGAUAACUUCGGGAAACCGGAGCUAAUACCGGAUAAUAUAUUGAACCGCAUGGUUCAAAAGUGAAAGACGGUUUUGCUGUCACUUAUAGGUGGAUCCGCGCUGCAUUAGCUAGUUGGUAAGGUAACGGCUUACCAAGGCAACGAUGCAUAGCCGACCUGAGAGGGUGAUCGGCCACACUGGAACUGAGACACGGUCCAGACUCCUACGGGAGGCAGCAGUAGGGAAUCUUCCGCAAUGGGCGAAAGCCUGACGGAGCAACGCCGCGUGAGUGAUGAAGGUCUUCGGAUCGUAAAACUCUGUUAUUAGGGAAGAACAAAUGUGUAAGUAACUGUGCACGUCUUGACGGUACCUAAUCAGAAAGCCACGGCUAACUACGUG